rnacentral:lncRNA from 1 species
GGAGAUCUCACCUCCCAGAUGUCUGUAGAGCUGCGGCCGCAGGAGCAGUGGUUCCCGGUGGUUAUGCAGGUCCUUGCUUGCUCCAGCCGAAUCUCGUUUCUUUCUUCAUUCUUUCCCCCCUAGCAAGCUUCAAAACUUCUGAAAAACUGACCCCGCUCUUCUCACUCCUGUGGACAUGGGCUUCAGUCGAGUCGCCAAUGCAGAGAAAUAUUUCGAAAUUCCAAAUUUAAAGCAAUUGAUGAGAGAUGCAGGCAAAGAUCAUCAAAGGGAAAGAUUAAACCUCAUUCUCAUUGUGUCUUUAUUUCUCGAAAUUUUCAUACUGGAGGAUUCCUAUCACAGCAAUUAAAUAAUCUGUGUGAUGACACUUUGAACCAUGUAACCAUGAAAAUAUCUUUCUUCAUCAAACUCUACUUACCAAGUAGACAGGUGAUAAGUAGAGUUCCUCUGCUUACCUGAACCAAGGUAAGGUUCCUACCUGAACCUU